UACGUAGGGGGCGAGCGUUGUCCGGAUUUAUUGGGCGUAAAGAGCGUGUAGGCAGCCAGGUAGGUCUGCUGUGAAAACUCGAGGCUCAACCUCGAGACGUCGGCGGAAACCAUCUGGCUAGAGUCCGGAAGAGGAGAGUGGAAUUCCUGGUGUAGCGGUGAAAUGCGCAGAUAUCAGGAAGAACACCCGUGGCGAAGGCGGCUCUCUGGGACGGUACUGACGCUGAGACGCGAAAGCGUGGGGAGCGAACAGG
rnacentral:rRNA from 1 species